CUGUUAUCACGGAGGGAGAAACCACAGCUAGUAACUGACUACACCAUAUUUGGAUCCCUGCCUGCCACGCUCUGAAGUGUGGAGCCUGCUCCUGUAUCCUGCUGGGGGAAUUCUCUGGCCCGUCUCCUUUCUACACCUCUAAGAAGGCAUUUCUUUUUCACCGUGACUCCUGAAAGUCACGUAGAUCUUAUCAGUUCUUACUGGGACCUGAAGACUUGGCUACAGCUCCUGCCUCAGGCGUGGCAGAGGAGAUCUGGUCUGACUCUGAUGAUCACAGGAACAGAUCCAGCUAGCUACCUCAUCCUUGAACUACGGAGUCAUCUUUAUCCAACUUCAGACAAACCUCUGUCCUGCUGUGUCCCAAUGUCAGCCAUGACUUCUUUUGCUUCUCCUGUUUUUUUUUGUUUUUGUUUUUUGGGAGGGGUCACAGAUGAAAAUGUCAGAGUCUCUGAGCUGAGCUAGACAAGAAAUGGCCCCAAGUCAAGACUAGCAGUCACUUUAAGAAGUUGUAGGAUCAAGCCUGCUGUUUCUGUUUCAGAGACGAGGAUGCCAAUUCAAGUUAUCAAGUUACAGAAGCAACCACAAAAUAACAAAAAAAGAAGUUUCUUACCCGCCAAGGUCACCAAAAGGAGACUGAGAGAGAGAAGCAGGAAGCCUUUCAUGUUAGCUGCUCUUGCUCGAUAAUCCAAGGAGGAAAUGUGUCCUCUCCUGAGCUGCCUGGUGUUUUAACUGUCUUUCAAGUCCGAAGUCCACUCAUUAACUGAUAGAGGCAGAGCAAUUCGUGGUCGGGAUCUG
rnacentral:lncRNA from 1 species